rnacentral:rRNA from 1 species
GACGAACGCUGGCGGCGUGCUUAACACAUGCAAGUCGAACGGAAAGGCCCGGCUUGUGUUGGUGGCUCGAGGGGCGAACGGGUGAGUAACACGGGAGUAACCUGCCCUGGACUGUGGGAUAACUUGAGGAAACGGGGGCUAAUACCGAAGAGGAGAGCCUGCUAAAGGGGGGUGUUUGGAAAUUUUAGGCGGUUGGGGGUGGACUCGCGGCUUAUCAGCUGGUUGGGGGGGGAGGGGCUUACCAAGGCUUUGACGGGUAGCCGGCCUGAGAGGGUGACCGGCCCCAUUGGGACUGAGAUACGGCCCAGACUCCUACGGGAGGCAGCAGUGGGGAAUCUUGCACAAUGGGCGGAAGCCUGAUGCAGCAACGCCGCGUGCGGGAUGACGGCCUUCGGGUUGUAAACCGCUUUCGCCUGUGACGAAGCGUGAGUGACGGUAAUGGGUAAAGAAGCACCGGCUAACUACGUG